AGGCAGGGGUGAGCCCAGCCACUCACCUUCCAGGAAGCGUGGAUUCCUGGAAGUGAGGGGAACCGCCGUCAUUUCGCAGGCAGCGGCAGUAGAUAAUGACCUUCUGUCUACAUAUAACACAGACGAAGACAGCUCAGCUUCAUUAUCCAAGUGCUUGGACAGCAGCGCAGAGGGGAUGAAUUCUCAGAUCAUCCUAGGAUUGGCCAGCCUCUAAAAUAAGAAGGAAUUCACAUCUCUUCUAAGAAGAGAAGGCAAAUCAAGCAGCCUGGAAUUCAGAGUCUUCUCCAGCAGGAUUAAGAAACCAACAAAGAGAGUCUGCUGUGGCAAUGUCUACACUGACAGAAUUCCACGCUCUUAUUUGUUCCUCCAGAGUAAAAUGAGGCCAGAAAUACCUGCCAACAAUAACCUAUCUUAAUUUUUCCUGGCUACUUUGUAUGUGUUGAGGGAAGAGAGCGAGACAGUUGCGAGAAAAUCAUUCUUUUGCGGAUGUUGGGGAGGGGGUGGUAAAAGAUAGAAUAAUAUUUCGCCCAUGCUGGGAAGUACAAGCUGCAUGUUUAAACUCAGAGGAAAUAAAGAAGAAACUUUCAAUUGCAUUUUCACUGGAAAAAAGUCAGGACUUAUUUCUAAGCCAAGUCCUGAAAAAUGCUUUACCCUUAACCUACUAAGAGAAAGGGGACUGCAUAUAAGAUACAAUUGAACUAAAGGCACUUACUUAGUGGGCAAAAAAGCCAUUAUAUUUUGUGCUGGAGACAUCAGUGUCUAUUGACUAAGGCAAGAACAGUUCUGAAGCUGCCAGCCAGAAGACAGCUCCCACACGCUGGGGCCCACCCCAGAAGCUCCCAUGAGAUUUCUCCUGCUUUAUAACUGUAAGGCUAUUUUCUUCUUUUAAGGCUUU